CGUGUCGGCAUAGAGGAUACAUCUGGUCCGGUUGGCAGCGAGGCGGGGAAUGCCACAAGAUUCUCCUCGGACUCUGCUGCCCCUGACGGUGCAACACCAGGAUCUUCUGCAUCAACACCUACUGCUGUUCCACGGACACGUCUUCAAAAAGGGGUAAUAAAACCAAUUAAUUACAAACAGUUGACAAAGUUCAGUAUAAUUUGCUCCAUAGAUGAACCAAGUACUCUUAGCGAGGCACUCAGCGACAAAAAUUGGAAGGCAGCCAUGGAAGAAGAACACAUGGCACUCCUCAAAAAUAAAACGUGGCAUCUGGUUCCCCCACGGCACGGUAAAAAUUUGAUUGAUUGCAAGUGGGUCUUUAGAUCAAAAAGAAGGCUGAUGAAACCAUUGAUCGCUACAAAGCAAGACUAG
rnacentral:rRNA from 1 species